GAUGAACGCUAGCGGCAGGCUUAACACAUGCAAGUCGAACGAGACCUUCGGGUCUAGUGGCGCACGGGUGCGUAACGCGUGGGAAUCUGCCCCUUGGUUCGGAAUAACAGCGAGAAAUUGCUGCUAAUACCGGAUAAUGACGUAAGUCCAAAGAUUUAUCGCCAAGGGAUGAGCCCGCGUAGGAUUAGCUAGUUGGUGUGGUAAAGGCGCACCAAGGCGACGAUCCUUAGCUGGUCUGAGAGGAUGAUCAGCCACACUGGGACUGAGACACGGCCCAGACUCCUACGGGACGGCAGCAGUGGGGAAUUUUGGACAAUGGGCGCAAGCCUGAUCCAGCAAUGCCGCGUGCAGGAUGAAGGCC
rnacentral:rRNA from 1 species